GGGUUGUGAGGUUAAGCGACUAAGCGUACACGGUGGAUGCCCUGGCAGUCAGAGGCGAUGAAGGACGUGCUAAUCUGCGAUAAGCGCCGGUAAGGUGAUAUGAACCGUUAUAACCGGCGAUUUCCGAAUGGGGAAACCCAGUGUGAUUCGUCACACUAUCAUUAACUGAAUCCAUAGGUUAAUGAGGCGAACCGGGGGAACUGAAACAUCUAAGUACCCCGAGGAAAAGAAAUCAACCGAGAUUCCCCAGUAGCGGCGAGCGAACGGGGAGGAGCCCAGAGCCUGAAUCAGCAUGUGUGUUAGUGGAAGCGUCUGGAAAGGCGCGCGAUACAGGGUGACAGCCCCGUACACAAAAGCGCAUGUGCUGUGAGCUCGAUGAGUAGGGCGGGACACGUGGUAUCCUGUCUGAAUAUGGGGGGACCAUCCUCCAAGGCUAAAUACUCCUGACUGACCGAUAGUGAACCAGUACCGUGAGGGAAAGGCGAAAAGAACCCCGGCGAGGGGAGUGAAAAAGAACCUGAAACCGUGUACGUACAAGCAGUGGGAGCACCCUUCGGGGUGUGACUGCGUACCUUUUGUAUAAUGGGUCAGCGACUUAUAUUCUGUAGCAAGGUUAACCGUAUAGGGGAGCCGGAGGGAAACCGAGUCUUAAUUGGGCGUUAAGUUGCAGGGUAUAGACCCGAAACCCGGUGAUCUAGCCAUGGGCAGGUUGAAGGUUGGGUAACACUAACUGGAGGACCGAACCGACUAAUGUUGAAAAAUUAGCGGAUGACCUGUGGCUGGGGGUGAAAGGCCAAUCAAACCGGGAGAUAGCUGGUUCUCCCCGAAAGCUAUUUAGGUAGCGCCUCGUGAAUUCAUCUCCGGGGGUAGAGCACUGUUUCGGCUAGGGGGCCAUCCCGGCUUACCAACCCGAUGCAAACUGCGAAUACCGGAGAAUGUUAUCACGGGAGACACACGGCGGGUGCUAACGUCCGUCGUGAAGAGGGAAACAACCCAGACCGCCAGCUAAGGUCCCAAAGUCAUGGUUAAGUGGGAAACGAUGUGGGAAGGCCCAGACAGCCAGGAUGUUGGCUUAGAAGCAGCCAUCAUUUAAAGAAAGCGUAAUAGCUCACUGGUCGAGUCGGCCUGCGCGGAAGAUGUAACGGGGCUAAACCAUGCACCGAAGCUGCGGCAGCGAACGUAUCACCCAAGACAACUUUACGGAGUUGACGAUUGACGGAGCGAAGCGACGUCAAAGCGUUCAUUAAAGUCGAGUUGGCUUAGGGAUACGUUCGUUGGGUAGGGGAGCGUUCUGUAAGCCUGUGAAGGUGUGUCGUGAGGCAUGCUGGAGGUAUCAGAAGUGCGAAUGCUGACAUAAGUAACGAUAAAGCGGGUGAAAAGCCCGCUCGCCGGAAGACCAAGGGUUCCUGUCCAACGUUAAUCGGGGCAGGGUGAGUCGACCCCUAAGGCGAGGCCGAAAGGCGUAGUCGAUGGGAAACGGGUUAAUAUUCCCGUACUUGGUGUUACUGCGAAGGGGGGACGGAGAAGGCUAUGUUGGCCGGGCGACGGUUGUCCCGGUUUAAGCGUGUAGGUGUGUGUUCCAGGUAAAUCCGGUUCACUUUAACACUGAGGCGUGACGACGAGGCACUACGGUGCUGAAGCAACAAAUGCCCUGCUUCCAGGAAAAGCCUCUAAGCAUCAGGUAACACGAAAUCGUACCCCAAACCGACACAGGUGGUCAGGUAGAGAAUACCAAGGCGCUUGAGAGAACUCGGGUGAAGGAACUAGGCAAAAUGGUGCCGUAACUUCGGGAGAAGGCACGCUGACACGUAGGUGAAGUGAUUUACUCAUGGAGCUGAAGUCAGUCGAAGAUACCAGCUGGCUGCAACUGUUUAUUAAAAACACAGCACUGUGCAAACACGAAAGUGGACGUAUACGGUGUGACGCCUGCCCGGUGCCGGAAGGUUAAUUGAUGGGGUCAGCGUAAGCGAAGCUCCUGAUCGAAGCCCCGGUAAACGGCGGCCGUAACUAUAACGGUCCUAAGGUAGCGAAAUUCCUUGUCGGGUAAGUUCCGACCUGCACGAAUGGCGUAAUGAUGGCCAGGCUGUCUCCACCCGAGACUCAGUGAAAUUGAACUCGCUGUGAAGAUGCAGUGUACCCGCGGCAAGACGGAAAGACCCCGUGAACCUUUACUAUAGCUUGACACUGAACAUUGAGCCUUGAUGUGUAGGAUAGGUGGGAGGCUUUGAAGUGUGGACGCCAGUCUGCAUGGAGCCGACCUUGAAAUACCACCCUUUAAUGUUUGAUGUUCUAACGUGGACCCGUAAUCCGGGUUGCGGACAGUGUCUGGUGGGUAGUUUGACUGGGGCGGUCUCCUCCUAAAGAGUAACGGAGGAGCACGAAGGUUGGCUAAUCCUGGUCGGACAUCAGGAGGUUAGUGCAAUGGCAUAAGCCAGCUUGACUGCGAGCGUGACGGCGCGAGCAGGUGCGAAAGCAGGUCAUAGUGAUCCGGUGGUUCUGAAUGGAAGGGCCAUCGCUCAACGGAUAAAAGGUACUCCGGGGAUAACAGGCUGAUACCGCCCAAGAGUUCAUAUCGACGGCGGUGUUUGGCACCUCGAUGUCGGCUCAUCACAUCCUGGGGCUGAAGUAGGUCCCAAGGGUAUGGCUGUUCGCCAUUUAAAGUGGUACGCGAGCUGGGUUUAGAACGUCGUGAGACAGUUCGGUCCCUAUCUGCCGUGGGCGCUGGAGAACUGAGGGGGGCUGCUCCUAGUACGAGAGGACCGGAGUGGACGCAUCACUGGUGUUCGGGUUGUCAUGCCAAUGGCACUGCCCGGUAGCUAAAUGCGGAAGAGAUAAGUGCUGAAAGCAUCUAAGCACGAAACUUGCCCCGAGAUGAGUUCUCCCUGAGACUUAGAGUCUCCUGAAGGAACGUUGAAGACGACGACGUUGAUAGGCCGGGUGUGUAAGCGCAGCGAUGCGUUGAGCUAACCGGUACUAAUGAACCGUGAGGCUUAACCUUACAACGCCGAAG
rnacentral:rRNA from 2 species